AGCAGCCGCGGUAAUUCCAGCUCCAAUAGCGUAUAUUAAAGUUGCUGCAGUUAAAAAGCUCGUAGUUGAAUUUCGGGAUCGAUAUAUCGGUCGUGCCUCGGUACGUACUGGUAUUUUCGGUUUCUACCUUCUGACGAACCUUGAUGUCAUUAAUUUGGUGUCUUGGGGAAUCAGGACUGUUACUUUGAAAAAAUUAGAGUGUUUAAAGCAGGCUCACGCUUGAAUACAUUAGCAUGGAAUAAUGAAAUAGGACGUUUGAUUCUAUUUUGUUGGUUUCUAGGAUCGACGUAAUGAUUAAUAGGGAUAGUUGGGGGCAUUAGUAUUCAAUUGUCAGAGGUGAAAUUCUUGGAUUUAUUGAAGACUAACUACUGCGAAAGCAUUUGCCAAGGAUGUUUUCACUAAUCAAGAACGAAAGUUAGGGGAUCGAAGACGAUCAGAUACCGUCGUAGU
rnacentral:rRNA from 1 species